rnacentral:lncRNA from 1 species
ACAUAUUUGGCUUCCUCUCUCUCUCUUUCACUUGUAGUUGCCAUGAGCAUGAUGAGUUUAAACACAAAGCAAAGUUACAAGCUUUCUGUGAAAAGAGCCACAAGAAGAGUUAGAAAACAACAACAAAGAAGAACAACAACAACAAACCCAUCAUUUUGCAAGGCUCCUAGAAGCUUCAAACACAUCAUGAAGUCCAAGCUUUCACAAAAACUGCAUGCACUCAAGAAUCUAGUACCUACCCACAAUGGAGACAUAGUGA